GAGCGGAUGACGGGAGCUUGCUCCUUGAUUCAGCGGCGGACGGGUGAGUAAUGCCUAGGAAUCUGCCUGGUAGUGGGGGACAACGUUUCGAAAGGAACGCUAAUACCGCAUACGUCCUACGGGAGAAAGCAGGGGACCUUCGGGCCUUGCGCUAUCAGAUGAGCCUAGGUCGGAUUAGCUAGUUGGUGAGGUAAUGGCUCACCAAGGCGACGAUCCGUAACUGGUCUGAGAGGAUGAUCAGUCACACUGGAACUGAGACACGGUCCAGACUCCUACGGGAGGCAGCAGUGGGGAAUAUUGGACAAUGGGCGAAAGCCUGAUCCAGCCAUGCCGCGUGUGUGAAGAAGGUCUUCGGAUUGUAAAGCACUUUAAGUUGGGAGGAAGGGCAGUAAGUUAAUACCUUGCUGUUUUGACGUUACCGACAGAAUAAGCACCGGCUAACUCUGUGCCAGCAGCCGCGGUAAUACAGAGGGUGCAAGCGUUAAUCGGAAUUACUGGGCGUAAAGCGCGCGUAGGUGGUUCGUUAAGUUGGA
rnacentral:rRNA from 1 species